AAAGACAGGUGUAUCAGGUUGCUGGCCAUUUCCCCUGCUGAAACUCCUGGGCUGGCAACUGGGGGUCCUGAGAGUGUCCUCCUGCUGUCUUUGCUCAACUCAGCUCUCAUGGCCAAAGGGCUCCGAGAAACACAGUCAUCUCCCUCCACUGUCAACAUAUACCCUGCCUACGGGAGAGACCAUCGUAGUAACAGCCCACACCUGCACCGUCUCCCGCCCGCUCCAGCCCAGCAAGGUGCCCAGGACAGGAUGGCAGUCCCAUUUUACAGGUGGGCAUCCUGAGGCCCAGAGAAGGACAGUAAUUCUCCAUGAGCCACACUACUGGGAUUCCCUGCUGGCCAGCCUCAGCCUCACCCCAUCCCAAGGGUCAGUCCUGACUCAGGAAAGGAGGACAAGAAGGCAUCCAGCCGCAGAGUUCUGAUUGCUGUCCAAAGGUGAAGACAUGAAGAGACUUCAGGGAACUACUUGUGCUUGCAGGACCUGCCAAAAGGGGCUCCAAACAGACCAUGAAUGGCUGCCCAACACCCGCCUUCGGCUCCAUAUAGAAGUGAGGGCAGAGAGAAGACUGAUGAAGACGAUUCUGAAGAGAGUUUAGGGGAACGCUGAUGUUUCUUUUCCUCUUCCCUCCUGCAGAUUCCAAAAAUGGCCUUAGGGCUUGAUCGAAAGAUCUCUCUCUGGAGAAAUUCUCAUCUCUGCUUUCCUUGAGGUUGGCUGUGCUCCCAGGCACACUCUUUCCAUGUGGCCACUCAUGGCUGCUCAAGGCUUACAUCCUUGUUUUAAUAUCCUCAAACAAAAAAGAGACAGGUUCUUAUUCAAGAGUCCAGUCAAAGUUCCAGCCUGACUUUCCUUUGCCGGAUUGGGGUCAUGUGCCCAUCUAUGAACCAAUCACUGUGGCCAGUGUGGGAUGUGCUGCCAUGAUUGGCUGGAUCUGGGUCACAUGUCCUCUCCCAGAGCCUUGUGGAUCAAGAGUAGAGGAGGGAAAGGAGAGGGCUGCAGGAGAAAAGGGAAAGGGGUGUUGGGCAGAGGGAGACCUCCAUAAUCCCUGCUUCAGCCUGGGUGCCGCCUUCCUUGAUCAGCAUGUCUCCUUCCUCCCCAGUAUUCUCUGCCUCAGCACCUUCCCGAUUUCCUUCAUUGUUCAUAUUGCUAUUUAGAGUUACAUAGUUGCUUCCUUGAGCUUCCCAGGUGACUCAGCGGUAAAGAGUUCACCUGUCAAUGCAGGAGACGGAAGCGACCCCAUGGACUGUAGCCUGCCAGGCUCCUCCGUCCAUGGGAUUUUCCAGGCAAUAGUGCUGGAGUGGAUUGCCAUUUCCUUCUCCAGGGGAUCUUCCCAACCCAAGGAUUGAACACGGGUCUCCCGCAUUGUAGACAGACGCUUUACCGUCUGAGCCACCAGGGGAGUAAAGAAUCCGCCUGCCAGUGCAGGAGACGGAAGAGACGUAGGUUCG
ensembl:lncRNA